GAUGAACGCUGGCGGCGUGCCUAAUACAUGCAAGUCGGGCGAACGGACGCGAAGCUUGCUUUUCUGAUGUUAGCGGCGGAGGGGUGAGUAACACGUGGAUAACCUACCUAUAAUACUGGGAUAACUUCGGGAAACCGGAGCUAAUACCGGAUAAUCUUUUGAACCGUAUGGUGCAAAGGAGAAAGACGGUCUUGCUGUCUCUUAUAGAUGGAUCCGCGCUGCAUGAGGUAGUUGGUAAGGUAACGGCUUACCAAGGCAACGAUGCAUGGCCGAGCUGAGAGGGUGAUCGGCCACACUGGAACGGAGACACGGUCCAGACUCCUACGGGAGGCAGCAGUAGGGAAUCUUCCGCAAUGGGCGAAAGCCUGACGGAGCAACGCCGCGUGAGUGAUGAAGGUCUUGGGAUCGUAAAACUCUGUUAUUAGGGAAGAACAUAUGUGUAAGUAAAUGUGCACAUCUUGACGGUACCUAAUCAGAAAGCCACGGCUAACUACGUG
rnacentral:rRNA from 1 species